rnacentral:lncRNA from 1 species
GAUAAUUGCAGAAGUAUGCAAAUAUAGUAAUUAUUCGCAGAAUCGAGUAGCCAAGCAUGAUAAAAUGAUGAAAUGAUCCUUGUAGUCAAAUGACAGGCCUACCUUCUUCUUUUUUUUAACACUAAAAGAUUCAUUCAUUACUCAACAGAGGAGUACACAUGGUGGGAUACAAAGCUAACGAGUCAUGAUGACUGUUAGAAAUAUAGCUGGCAAGAAACAACCUUCUUCCAGAAGCAUUAGCCGGCAGACAUGAGAAUCUCCGGAAACAUAAAGACAUAGAAAUUUACGAACAAGGUUUUAAUAACAGACAAGCAAACUAAUCUAGAUCAAAACAACUAAAUACCCAAGACAGAAGAACCACCGAAAGAGAAAUGAGAGAAUAAGCACACAUCAUAUAAUCAAACUUUAUUUGGAAAGCACAUGCACCUCAUUAUAUUGCUAGUAAGAUCACUUCAACUAGCCACGAGGAAGUAACGCAGACAGCAACCCCAAGGAGAUGAAGGACACACCUUUUAACUAUCAAUCUCCCACGACUUAAUGCAGAAAGAGCCAAAGCCCCAAUUCCUUGAACAAGAACCGGAGAACCCUUGCACGAAGCAGAAUAUAACAUAAACAACCCAGGCUCAAUCCCGUCGCAGACGAAGACAAGGAAAAGCACACCUCCAACCUCGGCUGAACCACCACAAGAGGCAACAUCGAACAUGCAACCAGAUCCGAGAAGAGAAAUUGUUGACACAAAUAACACCGAUUGAAACUCAAGAGGAAGAAACCACGCCGAAUAAGGAGGACCCGAGACGGACAAACCGCCGACUGAACCUCGAUCGACGAAUCUCGACCUCUAAAAGCGAGAUCUGAUGAUCUAGAUCUAGAAAACUGUCUAGGAUUCUAGAAACCCAAGCAAAAGACAUGCAACCACAUAGAAAAUAAAUCAAAUCCCGACCGACGGUGGCUAUGAAAGCCAACUCCGCCGGCCGGAAACGAAGAACACGAUGAAGAAGAUGCUAGAGAGAAGUGAGAGCUAAAGAUUGGAGAGAGAAGGUCUCGUAAAUGACAUGCCUACUAAAUGGCAUAAACCCGAUAUAGUUAAUAAUUUGGGUAAUCUUUUUGUCGGUAGAUUUGCCAGAAUAUUGUCGAAAUGUAAAGCUUGCGAAUAUAUUCAGAGAACGAGAAGUAAAAAUCUAAAGCUACUACAGCUCAACUUGCAAAUGCAAAUGAUCAUGUUUCAGUUCCUAUUUCAGUUUGUCAAACUUGUAAAAUAAUAGCUCAGAGUGUCCUAUGUCAGCUGUGGGAACUGACACAUCUC